GCAGUUCUACGGCUUCAUUUGUCGGGGGCGAGGACAAAUCGGCCCGAGAUCUCUCCGGCGAGAUUAAUGGCACCGCAAAUCAUGGCUCACGUUGCCGCGGCGACAGGCCUCCUCCCCGCGGCUGCAGCUCAUUUAAAAGCCGUAUAAUCUUUGGCGGUGGCGGAGCGGAGGGAAACCGCAUCGCUGGACCAGAACGCCUGACAGCUGCAUGGAGGCCUGCCAGGGCCGCUCCAGGCCCACAGGACCCCCCCCAAAAAACACCCCAUCCCCCAGCAUGCCGGAGCCACGGAGAGGAGGCUCUCGUGGAAGCUGCUCGUUGGAGAUACGGGACACGUUUUUUUAUUUCACCUUUGAUUUAACCGCAGAACCUUCCGAGGAGGAGGAGUCAACGUACACAAAGUAAACAGCGCCGGCUGCGGUUUGAUCGUAUCACACCGGAGGCCUGCGUGUUAAACUGCACCACCUCCAUGCGCUGCUUUGACAAGAUCUUCAGGCUGGAGGGCGGCUUGGCUUUAGCUCCAACACUUCAGCCUGAAACGCACAAAGAAGAAUGGACACUUCAUUUAAUGGCGAUGUGUCUCCAGCCGUCCCCCUCCUCUGCUCGUCUGAAUGAAGACUUCCUCCAACACGCCGACCGUCGCUCUGCUAUUCUUAUCUCGCCGAGUGACAACAGAAGAAACUUUAAAUUGGGCCUCAAAGAAGCGACUGCCGAGGAGAGAAACGUCCGGAAGCUGAUUCCAGCUCACGGAACAGAAGCGUCGCGUGCAAAGGAUUGUGGGUAUUUUUGGAGGAUUAACGCGUCCUUUAAUAUCUUCCAAUUGAAGGAUUCAGCUCUCAGAAUAAUUCUGAGGAUCCUUUUUUAUAUUUCUGAGAGGACAGAUUUAGUACAUACUUAUUAUUAUAAGUAUUAGUAUUAUUUUACACAAAGAAAGUAUAACUACUAUCAUUAUUUUGGUGGAUUGAACUGGUCUGACGGGCUUUGAUUCACGUCCCGUUCACGUCUGAGAAAGACUAACAAAUAAAAAACAAAUUUCCG
ensembl:lncRNA